AACAGAACAAUGACAAGUCGCACAGAGUUGGUUUCAAUAUUUAUGUUGUAGACAGCACAGCGCAAUAAAACAAGUACUGUAAUAUGCCAAUAUGACAAAGACCGUGACACGCUCCCACUCAACACUCCCAACUGAACACGGUCCCACUCAACACUCCCACCUCAACAUGGCUUCACUCAACACAACUCCACUCCACACUCCCACCUCAAAAUGGUUUCACUCUACACAGAUCCACUCAACAUAUUUUCACUCAACACUCCCAACUCAACAUGUUUUUCAGUCAGCACAUUUUCACUCAACACUACCAACUCAACACAGCUCCAUUCAGCACCACUUAUCACUCCCCAAGCAUUCCCAUUUAUAGGAAGUGUCAUUAAGCUCUCUUCUGUGUGUGUGUGUGUGUGUGUGUGUCAGGUAACUGCAGCAAACCACACACCGUUCAGAUGUAUGCGUGUGUGUGUGGUCAAAUGUUAGUUACAAAGAAAGUACACAACUAACGAAGGCUUGUGGUUUAACAGUUCUUCAAAACAUUGCGGUUCCCGAUUGGUUAACACCACCAGGUGAUUUCACUAACGGCUGAUUGGUGCACAGAGGUUGAAUAAAUAGGACACAAAACGAAGCAGAAUUCAGAUAUGGAGAACAUACCACCUAGUCUUCCCACCAGACAGAAUCUUUCUCUGAAUUAGACUGUCCAAUGUAUGAGUUCUGCUUCUGUGGAUAACACUGUUUCAGUCUCUCUUUGUCCAUUCCUGGUUUCUUCUUGGUUAUUUCCUGGUUGGAUCUUAGUUUACACCCAGUCGGUUGCUCAUUGGUUCCUGGUUCAUUCUUGGUUGGUUCCUGGUUGUAUCCUAAUUCAUGUUGUGUUGACUCCAGGGUGUUAUGGCUGAAUCUUAUGGCUCAAACUUCGCUCCUUUUCUGGUGACGUCCUGUAGAGUUCUGGUGCUGAGAGACCCCUGGGAGGAGUCAGAGUUCUGGUGCUGACCGUCCCCUGGGAGGAGUCAGAGUUCUGGUGCUGACCGUCCCCUGGGAGGAGUCAGAGUUCCCCUUAAGAAACAACAGAGUUCAGAGUUAGUGACCUCUAGUGAAGGAUACGUCUACACAGUCAUGGCCUUCAAAUACCAUUUUGUAUAGAAAUCUCUUGAAAUUAAAAAAUAAUUUGGUAUCCA
ensembl:lncRNA